UUUAUUGAAACUUCGGUGGAUUUAAUUUAUUUCUAGUGGCGGACGGGUGAGUAACGCGUGGGUAACCUGCCUUAUACUGGGGGAUAACAGCCAGAAAUGACUGCUAAUACCGCAUAAGCGCACAGAACCGCAUGGUUCCGUGUGAAAAACUCCGGUGGUAUAAGAUGGACCCGCGUUGGAUUAGCUAGUUGGCAGGGCAGCGGCCUACCAAGGCGACGAUCCAUAGCCGGCCUGAGAGGGUGAACGGCCACAUUGGGACUGAGACACGGCCCAGACUCCUACGGGAGGCAGCAGUGGGGAAUAUUGCACAAUGGGGGAAACCCUGAUGCAGCGACGCCGCGUGAAGGAAGAAGUAUCUCGGUAUGUAAACUUCUAUCAGCAGGGAAGAUAAUGACGGUACCUGACUAAGAAGCCCCGGCUAACUACGUGCCAGCAGCCGCGGUAAUACGUAGGCGGCAAGCGUUAUCCGGAUUUACUGGGUGUAAAGGGAGCGUAGACGGCGCAGCAAGUCUGAUGUGAAAGGCAGGGGCUUAACCCCUGGACUGCAUUGGAAACUGCUGUGCUUGAGUGCCGGAGGGGUAAGCGGAAUUCCUAGUGUAGCGGUGAAAUGCGUAGAUAUUAGGAGGAACACCAGUGGCGAAGGC
rnacentral:rRNA from 1 species